UCCUCUGUUACUCUGAAAGCAAAGCUGCAUCACUGACAGCUAAGCAGCUUAGAAACACACAAUGGAGUUUCCUAAGGGUCUAAAUUCCUACUACUCAGGGACUUGGGUCCUGGAGUGAGUUCAUGGAACUCUGCUUUCAAAUUAGUUCUGCACAGCUAGGUUUAGUUGUCAGUCCUCCCGACACUGUCAUUUCAGCCACUCCUGAAUCCAGACCCUCGCUGACCAAGAGCUACUACAUUACUGGCGUUGGUGUUUGGAAGGGAUCUGAAGAAGGGGCUCAUGAACUUGAAAGCAUUUACAUAUCUAAUGAAGAAACAGAAAUAAUUAUCAAGACAGGAAAAGGCAUCCAGCUGUAAUGAGUCAGGAGACCACAGGCACCAUAUCCCAGGUUCCAGAACGGGAAGUUGCUUCCAGAGUUUUGUAUGUCCCCUCUACGGCGGCAGAUGCAGCAGAGCUCGGCUCCUGCCUGGGGUCCAGCCACCCUCCUCAGAGGGGCUUCCAUGCUGGCGCCCGGCUGCACGGAGCUGACGGCUGCACAUGAGGAAUGAGCCAGGAAGUCCUUGCUCCCCUUUACUCUGGGGGGCAAGGACCAUGUCUGAAUCUUCCCAGAACCUAACUUGGUGCCUGGUGCUAUCUGUUAUUACUGAAUAUUGCUGCAGAAUGGAGAGUGGUGUUCAGGAACGUGUGGGAUGCCUAAAGCAAGUCUCCUAGUCAUAGGAAACAGCUCAAGAGAACCCAGAGAAAUGGUGCACCUCCAGCAUGAUACACCCAAAGAAGAGGACAUGCUCUGCAUUCGGAGGGAACACUGGAGAGAUGACACGUUUCUCUUUUUGUGAAACAUGCUCCUGUGGUGAUUACUAAAUGACAUUCCUCCCAGAGCAUGCAACACGGGCAGAGCUACAGCCUCUGCUUCCUUCUUCGCGUAAAAUUGUUGAAGAAAUAGACCAGGAUGGGGACCCUCAAGUUGAAAUAAAAGAGCCUCCAGUGGAUCCUGAAAGUGCUACAUCUGAAAAUCCAGUGUGGGAACAGCGCUGGCAGAUGCCUUCUCUAUACUAGUAAAAACUGGUGCAUUUUGGUUGGAGGCUUAUUCCUUGCUUUAUUUGGGAUAAAAUAUCAAUGUUUUUCUUCCACAAUGCCUUCUACCAUCUAAAAAGAAAAGUGUCCUGAGCCUGAGAAAUAUCCAGAUCUUUUCUCCUUACACACCUAAGACCCUUGCAUGUUUGGGGCAGGUGGCAUCCUUUGCACUUUCCAUAGUUUCAGCCCCCACAUCCCGUCUUAGCCGUCACAACACACUUUGUUUUAACAAGUGUUUGGGACUUUGCUUCUUAUCAGUGAGAAUAAACUGGCUCUCAUUUGGC